GGAGAGUUUGAUCAUGGCUCAGGACGAACGCUGGCGGCGCGCCUAAUGCAUGCAAGUCGAGCGAGGCUCCACCCUUCGGGGUGGAUGUCCUAGCGGCAAACGGCUGAGUAACGCGUGGGUGAUCUACCCCAGAGAGGGGAAUAACCCGCCGAAAGGCGGACUAAUUCCGCAUACGCUCCACCGUGUAAAGGCGGUGGUGGAAAGGGUUCCGGGCAACCGGCGCCGCUCUGGGAGGAGCUCGCGUCCUAUCAGGUUGUUGGUGGGGUAACGGCCUACCAAAUGCCAAAGACGGGUAGCUGGUGUGAGAGCACGACCAGCCAGAGGGGGACUGAGACACGGCCCCCACUCCUACGGGAGGCAGCAGCAGGGAAUCUUGCACAAUGGGCGAAAGCCUGAUGCAGCGACGCCGCGUGAGGGACGAAGGCUCUAGGGUUGUAAACCUCUUUUCUCAGGGAAGAGCAAGGACGGUACCUGAGGAAUAAGCCACGGCUAACUACGUGCCAGCAGCCGCGGUAAUACGUAGGUGGCAAGCGUUGUCCGGAAUUAUUGGGCGUAAAGGGUCCGUAGGCUGUUUUGUAAGUCUCCUGUGAAAACUCCAGGCUCAACUUGGAGCGGUCGGGGGAUACUGCAGGACUGGAGGCUGUCAGAGGAAAGCGGAAUUCCCGGUGUAGUGGUGAAAUGCGUAGAUAUCGGGAGGAACAUCAGUGGCGAAAGCGGCUUUCUGGGACAGUUCUGACGCUGAGGGACGAAAGCGUGGGGAGCAAACAGGAUUAGAUACCCUGG
rnacentral:rRNA from 1 species